rnacentral:tRNA from 2 species
GGCCCGUUCGUCUAUCGGUUAGGACGCUAGGUUUUCAACCUAGAAAGAGGGGUUCGACUCCCCUACGGGCUGCCA